CUCGAGGAAACUCGAAUUAAUUCCCCAUAGUACAUUAUAAUAUCUCAUGAUAUAAAUGUUAAAGAUUUAUCGGUUAAAGAUGGGCAUGCGUCUGAUUAGUUUGUUGGUAAGGUAACGGCUUACCAAGACUACGAUCAGUAGGGGGUCUGAGAGGAUGAUCCCCCACACUGGUACUGAGACACGGACCAGACAUCUACGGAUGGCAGCAGUAAGGAAUAUUGGGCAAUGGGCGCAAGCCUGACCCAGCCAUGCCGCGUGCAGGAUGACGACCCUAUGGGUUGUAAACUGCUUUUAUAUA
rnacentral:rRNA from 1 species